AAUGAACGCUGGCGGCAUGCCUAACACAUGCAAGUCGAGCGAAUGAAGGAAAAUUGCGCCUUGCUUCAGUGACGGACGGGCGGGUAAGUAAUAGGUAGAUGACCUGCCUAGAGGGAUAACGUAAGGUAAGGGAAGCUGAGAUAGUAUACGUUCAGAGGGUGAACGGCAUGGUUCUACAGUCCAAACGCGACUAGCUGUGCCUAGGACGUAUUAGCUAGUUGGUGAGGUAAAGGCCUACCAAGGCGACGAUCCGUAGCAGCCCUGAGAGGCUGAUCAGUCACACUGGAACUGAGACACGGUCCAGACUCCUACGGGAGGCAGCAGUAGGGAAUAUUCGACAAUGGGCGAAAGCCUGAUGCAGCCACGCCGCGUGAGUGAUGAAGGUCUUCGGAUCGUAAAACUCUGUAAGUAGGGAGGAACGUAAGUGUAUGUAACCGUUGAUAUCUUGACGUUACCUACACAGAAAGCAACGGCUAACUACGUG
rnacentral:rRNA from 1 species